UCUGGGUCUUCCACAGCCAUGAGGAACCAACCCUAACCAUGGCGAGCUCCAGGUCUUCCACAACCAUGAGGAACCAGCCCUAACCAUGGUGAGCUCCAGGUCUUCCAGAACCAUGAGGAACCAGCCCUAACCAUGGUGAGCUCCAGGUCUUCCAGAACCAUGAGGAACCAACCCUAACCAUGGUCUCUCCAUUAUCUAUGAACCUGGUGGAAGAGAACGCUGUGUGAGGUUUCAUCAUGUGUGGAUGCCAGUGCUGGGAGCUCAAACAAUGCCUUGCACCUGAGGCACGCCAUGGGUGUCUAGUCCUCUAGUCUCAGUUGGUAAUCAGUAAUUAAAUAAAAAGCAUCCAGUGCUGAA